GAUGAACGCUGGCGGCGUGCCUAAUACAUGCAAGUAGAACGCUGAAGGAAGGAGCUUGCUCUUUCCGGAUGAGUUGCGAACGGGUGAGUAACGCGUAGGUAACCUGCCUGGUAGCGGGGGAUAACUAUUGGAAACGAUAGCUAAUACCGCAUAACAGUAGAUGUUGCAUGAUAUCUACUUAAAAGGUGCAAUUGCACCACUACCAGAUGGACCUGCGUUGUAUUAGCUAGUUGGUGAGGUAACGGCUCACCAAGGCGACGAUACAUAGCCGACCUGAGAGGGGGGAGGGCCCCACGGGGAUGUGAACCGGGCCCAGACCCCUCCGGGGGGGCAAGGGAGGGAAUUUUGGGCAAUGGACGGAAGUCUGACCGAGAAACGCCGGGUGGUGGAAAAAGUUUUUCGGAUCUUAAAGCUUUGUUGUAAGGGAAGAACGGGGGUGGGGGGGGAAAGUUCACCCUGGGGCGGUAUUUUACCAGAAAGGGACGGCUAACCACGG
rnacentral:rRNA from 1 species